rfam:Camelus ferus unplaced genomic scaffold scaffold25522, whole genome shotgun sequence.
GAGGGUAUAGGUCAGUGGUAAAGUGUGUGCUUAGCAUGCAUGAGGUCCUGGGUUCAAUCCCUGGUACCUCUA